AGGAGAGGAGAAUUAAUGAGAUUUGGCCCCUAAGCUCAAGAAUUCAAUUGAUUUUCCCUUGGUUUGGCAAUAUUUUCCGCUACCCCUUUCAUUCCAAGAGAGGAGAGAAAAAAUUUUCUCUAUAAGCCACUACCCCUAGAACUUCCUACUCCUCACUUGGAACCUCCCACUUCUCAUUUGGAACUCUCCACUUCCAACUUGAAACUCUCCACUUCCAACCUAGCCACCGGUUCGGUCCAAGGAGCCCAAUAGGGUUCCUUUCUCUUUCUCUGUCUUCCUCUUCUUUCUCUCUUCUCUCUUUCUUCUCUCUUCCCUCUUUCCCCCUCUCUCUCCUACGACCAAUCGGUAGCCACAGCCCACCUCCUUCACCCCCUCUUUCUUCCACUCUCUCAUUUUCUCACUCUCUUUCUCUCUCUCGGUCUCCCUCUCUCUUCUCUCUCUCUGUCCUACGACCAAUCGGACUGUUUGUAACCCUAAGUUCAAGGAGAGGAGAAUUAAUGAGAUUUGGCCCCUAAGCUCAAGAAUUCAAUUGAUUUUCCCUUGGUUUGGCAAUAUUUUCCUCUACCCCUUUUAUUCCAAGAGAUGAGAGAAAAAACUUUCUCUAUAAGCCACUACCCCUAUAACUUCCCAACUCCUCACUUGGAACCUCCCACUUCUCACUUGGAACUCUCCACUUCCAACCUAGCCACCGGUUCAGUCCAAGGAACCUACUAGGUAACCAUCCCUUUCUCUUUCUCUCUCUUCCUCUUUCUUCUCUAUUCCCUCUCUCUCUCUCCUACGACCAAUCGAUAGCCGUCGGCCCUCCUUCACCCCCUCUUUCUUCCACUCUCUCAUUUUCUCUCUCUUGGUCUCCCUCUCUCUUCUCUCUUCCCUACGGCCAAUCGGGCUGGCAGCUACCCCCUCUUUUCUCCUCUCUUUCUCUCUCUCUUCUCUCCCUCCCUCUCUUCUCUCUCAAUCUCUCCUCUCUCUCCCACGGCCAAUCGAACGUCGGCCCACCUCCUUCACCCCCUCCUUUCUUCUUCUCCCUCGAUCUCUCUCUCAAUCUCUCCUCUCUCUCCCACGGGCAAUGGGGCUGUCGACCAACCUCUUUCACUCCUCUUUCUUCCUCUCUCAUUCUCUCCCUGCCUCUCUCCUCUCUCUCUCCAAUGGCCAAUCGGCCGCCGGCCCACCUCCUUCACCCGCUCUUUCUUCCUCUCUCUCACUCUCUCUUUCUCUCCCCGGUCUCUCUCUUCUCUCUCACAAUCUCUCCUCUCUCUCUCCCACGGCCAAUCGGCCACCGGUGCACCUCCUUCACCCCUCUUUCUUCCUCUCCCCGUCUCUCUCACAAUCUCUCCUCUCUCUCUCCCACGGCCAAUCGGCCACCGGCCCACCUCCUUCACCCCCACUUUUCUUCCUCUCUCUCAUUCUCUUUCUCUUCUCUCUCUCAAUCUCUCCUCUCUCUCUCUCACGACCAAUCAGGCCAACGACUAAGCCGCCAGCCCACCUCCUUCACCCCCUCUUUUUUCCUCUCAUUCUCUCUCGAUCUCUCUUUAUUCCCUCUCUCUCCCUCUUCUCGGGUCGACGACCACUCCUUUUCUCUCCCUCUCCUUCGAUCUCUCUCUCAAUCUCUCCUCUCUCUCCCACGGCCAAUCGACCGCCGGCCCACCUCCUUCACCCCCUCUUUUCUUCUUCUCUCUCAUUCUCUCUUUCUCGAUCUCUCUCUCCCUUUUCUCUUGGUUUUUCUCUCUCUCCCUCAAUCUCUCCUCUCUCUCCCACGGGCAAUCCGGCUGUCAACCAACCUCCUUCACUCGUCUUUCUUCCUCUCUCAUUCUCUCCCUCCCUCUCUUCUCUCUCUCC
rnacentral:lncRNA from 1 species